AAGAGUUAGGGUCUUCUAGGCCUGACCUCCCAACCCUAUGUUUAUUGAACCUCUGUUGCUUCGGCGGACCCGCCUUAUGGGCCGCCGGAGGACCGCUGAAAGGCGGUUCUCUGGCCAGCGUCCGCCGGCAGCCAACCACUUAAAACUCUGAAUAAAUCGUGUCAUAUGUCUAAGUCUAUGAUUAAAUUAAAGCA
rnacentral:misc_RNA from 1 species